CCUACGGGAGGCAGCAGUGAGGAAUAUUGGUCAAUGGGCGAAAGCCUGACGCAGCGACGCCGCGUGAGGGAUGAAGGUCUUCGGAUCGUAAACCUCUGUCAGCAGGGAAGAACGGUCACUGUGCUAAUCAGCAGUGAAUUGACGGUACCUGCAAAGGCAGCACCGGCUAACUCCGUGCCAGCAGCGUCGGUAAUACGGCGGGUGGGUGCGUUGAUCGGAAUUACUGGGCGUAAAGCGCGCGUAGGCGGUAUGUCAAGUCAAGGGUGAAAUCCCCGCGCUCAACGGGGGAAUUGCCUUUGAAACUGGCAAACUUGAGUGUGUUAGAGGAUAGUGGAAUUCCAGGUGUAGGAGUGAAAUCCUUAGAUAUCUGGAGGAACUCCAGUGGCGAAGGCGACUAUCUGGCACAUAACUGACGCUGAGGAGCGAAAGCGUGGGUAGCAAACAGGAUUAGAUACCCUAGUAGUC
rnacentral:rRNA from 1 species